rnacentral:rRNA from 1 species
UGCCGAGGGGGUCACACCCGUUCCCAUCCCGAACACGGAAGUUAAGCCCCUCUGGGCCGAUGGUACUGCAUGGGUAGCUGUGUGGGAGAGUAGGUCGCCGCCGGGA